rnacentral:rRNA from 1 species
CCUACGGGAGGCAGCAGUGGGGAAUAUUGCACAAUGGGGGAGACCCUGAUGCAGCGACGCCGCGUGAGUGAAGAAGUAUUUCGGUACGUAAAGCUCUAUCAGCAGGGAAGAAAAUGACGGUACCUGACUAAGAAGCCCCGGCUAACUACGUGCCAGGAGCCGGGGUUAUACGUAGGGAGCAAGCGUUAUCCGGAUUUACUGGGCGUAAAGGGAGCGUAGACGGCAGCGCAAGUCUGGAGUGAAAUCCCAUGGCUUAAACAUGGAACUGCUGUGGAAACUGUGCAGCUAGAGUGCAGGAGAGGUAAGCGGAAUGCGUGGUGUAGCGGUGAAAUGCGUAGAUAUUAGGAGGAACACCAGUGGCGAAGGCGGCUUACUGGACUGUAACUGACGUUGAGGCUCGAAAGCGUGGGGAGCGAACAGGAUUAGAUACCCUGGUAGUC